rnacentral:rRNA from 1 species
UGGGGAAUAUUCCGCAAUGGACGAAAGUCUGACGGAGCAACGCCGCGUGAGUGAUGAAGGUUUUCGGACUGUAAAACUCUGUUGUUUAGGACGAAAGUGCCUGUUGCAAACAGUUGCAGGUAUUGACGGUACUGAACGAGGAAGCCACGGCUAACUACGUGCCAGCAGCCGCGGUAAUACGUAGGUGGCAAGCGUUGUCCGGAAUUAUUGGGCGUAAAGAGCAUGUAGGGGGGAAUCUAAGUCUGUUGUGAAAAUGCGGGGCUCAACCCCGUAUUGCGAUGGAAACUGGGUUUCUUGAGUGCAGGAGAGGAAAGGGGAAUUCCCAGUGUAGCGGUGAAAUGCGUAGAUAUUGGGAGGAACACCAGUGGCGAAGGCGCCUUUCUGGACUGUGUCUGACGCUGAGAUGCGAAAGCUAGGGGAGCGAACG